AUUGAACGCAGGCGGCAUGCUUUACACAUGCAAGUCGAACGGUAACAGGCCUUCGGGUGCUGACGAGUGGCGAACGGGUGAGUAAUGCAUCGGAACGUACCCAGAGGUGGGGGAUGACGCAGCGAAAGCUGUGCUAAUACCGCAUGUGAUCUGAGGAUGAAAGCGGGGGACCGAGCAGCAAUGUUUGGCCUCGCGCCUUUGGAGCGGCCGAUGUCGGAUUAGCUAGUUGGUGGGGUAAAGGCCUACCAAGGCGACGAUCCGUAGCUGGUCUGAGAGGACGACCAGCCACACUGGGACUGAGACACGGCCCAGACUCCUACGGGAGGCAGCAGUGGGGAAUUUUGGACAAUGGGCGCAAGCCUGAUCCAGCAAUGCCGCGUGCGGGAAGAAGGCCUUCGGGUUGUAAACCGCUUUUGGCAGGAACGAAACGGUGUCCGCUAAUACCGGGCGCUAAUGACGGUACCUGCAGAAUAAGCACCGGCUAACUACGUG
rnacentral:rRNA from 1 species